ACUUAGUGACUGAAAUGUAAGUAAUGAUCUCUUAAAUCAAAUAAUGAUAAAUUAACAACUAUCCUAAGUAAA
rnacentral:tRNA from 1 species